AUACUUACCUGGCAGGGGAGAUACCAUGAUCACGAAGGUGAUUUUCCCAGGGCGAGGCUUAUCCAUUGCACUCCGGAUGUGCUGACCCCUGUGAUUUCCCCAAAUGUGGGAAACUCGACUGCAUAAUUUGUGGUAGUGGGGGACUGCGUUCGCGCUCUCCCCUG
ensembl:snRNA U1 U1 spliceosomal RNA